rnacentral:lncRNA from 13 species
GAGCUGCUGAGCGUAAAGCGGUUAAAUUACACCAUAAAAAUUCAGGGUCAAAUGGUCACAUAAAGAAAUUCUGUAACAGAGACUUUGUGGGUAGCAAGAGGAUCUCCACGGGACUAAACUUUGCUCUGGUAUGUCAAGGCAGCCCACCAAGAGCCACGUUGGUGUACAGUCCCCAAAACUGAAAAGACAU